rnacentral:rRNA from 1 species
UACGUAGGGUGCAAGCGUUGUCCGGAAUUAUUGGGCGUAAAGAGCUCGUAGGCGGUUUGUCGCGUCUGGUGUGAAAAUCCAGGGCUUAACCCUGGACCUGCAUCGGGUACGGGCAGACUAGAGUGCGGUAGGGGAGAUCGGAAUUCCUGGUGUAGCGGUGGAAUGCGCAGAUAUCAGGAGGAACACCGGUGGCGAAGGCGGGUCUCUGGGCCGAUACUGACGCUGAGGAGCGAAAGCGUGGGGAGCGAACAGG